rnacentral:rRNA from 1 species
AGAGUUUGAUCCUGGCUCAGGACGAACGCUGGCGGCGUGCUUAACACAUGCAAGUCGAACGAGGUUCAGGGAGCUUGCUCCCGAAGACCUAGUGGCGAACGGGUGCGUAACACGUGAGAAACCUGCCCCGAACUCGGGAAUAACAGUCGGAAACGACUGCUAAUACCGAAUACCGUCGGAGCGUCGCAUGGCGCAUCGACGAAAGCUUUUGCGGUUCGGGAGGGUCUCGCGGCCUAUAAGCUUGUUGGUGAGGUAACGGCUCACCAAGGCAUCGACGGGUAGCUGGUCUGAGAGGAUGAUCAGCCACACUGGGACUGAGACACGGCCCAGACUCCUACGGGAGGCAGCAGUGGGGAAUCUUGCACAAUGGGCGAAAGCCUGAUGCAGCAACGCCGCGUGCGGGACGAAGGCCUUAGGGUUGUAAACCGCUUUCAGCAGGGAAGAAACUGACGGUACCUGCAGAAGAAGGUGCGGCCAACUACGUGCCAGCAGCCGCGGUGACACGUAGGCACCAAGCGUUGUCCGGAUUUAUUGGGCGUAAAGAGCUCGUAGGCGGUUCAGUAAGUCGGGUGUGAAAACUCUGGGCUCAACCCAGAGCCGCCACCCGAUACUGCUGUGACUUGAGUACGGUAGGGGAGUGGGGAAUUCCUGGUGUAGCGGUGAAAUGCGCAGAUAUCGGGAGGAACACCAGUGGCGAAGG